rnacentral:rRNA from 1 species
CAUAGUUUGGUAGCUAUGUAUGGACGGGAUAAGAGCUGAAAGCAGCUAAGCAUGAAGUCCCCCUGAUGAUGAGAUUUCCCAACGUUGUUUAGAAUAUCCCUCGAAGAUGACGAGGUUAAUAGGUUCGAGGUGGAAGCGUGGUGACACGUGGAGCUGACGAAUACUAAUCGAUCGAAGACUUAAUCAAUUUUUAAA